rnacentral:lncRNA from 1 species
UGGCAGUUUGCUUAACUUGGUUUGGGUAGAAGGAUUUAGUCCUGGCAGUUUAGCUUGUGCAAUGGAAUUAGGAGGAAGAGUUCUUAAUGUGUUUCAGCGUGGUUUGAAAAUGGGCAUGUUAUCUUAGUGUGGUAUGGUCUGUGUGUUAUGAUAUGGAGAAUUGAGAAUUACGGGUUCAAGGCUUUGGGUCAGUUCAUAAUGGGAAAUCAUUAAAUUCUUGAGUAGCACGGUCAGCUACAGGUGAUUAAAGAGCCGAUCUUCAAAUGAUUAAGGUGAUGUAAAUUGAUGGUACAUUAGUAGCAUUGUGACAUUUUCUUGUUGGAUCGACUGCAGAUAUUUGAGUUUGUUGACGGCACAGGAAAUUCUGAAUAUCUUUCGUGGUAGUAUCCAAUGGGUGUUAUGUAUUCGGACGGCGGAGUGUGGGAUCAGACAUAGUGAUUCGUGCGUUAUAUGUGCUGGAGACUAGAAGUUCUCGUGAUCCGACCAUACGGUGGUCGUGGGUCGUGUAUCGACAUCGUUUUGCAGUUGUUGGAACUGGAGGUCCGAGUGGAUUUUUUUCUUUGCUUGGUAUGUUAAAAUUUGGGUUAUCAUAUUUGAUGGCAGACUGGUUGUUCCAGGGUCAGAUUGUCUAGACUAAUAUGUUAUGGGCUAUGUCACGAAAUGCCACAGGCUGCGUGGCAAGGUACAUCGGAUUAUGUUCUAGCAUGGUAGCUUAUAUUCCAGAGACCAGCGGAUGGCUGGCAAGCAUUGCUUAUUGAUUAGGCCUUCGUUUUGGAUGUCAGUGCAGAGGUUACUACCAUUGAUUCAGUUCCGGUAUUGAGGGACUUUUUCGAAUGCGUUUCUUUCGGUCGGGCUGAGGCUAUAUGUGUUUAUUGUAAUGAGCAAAUUUGACUCGAUGUGCUUCUCCUUUUUUGAGAUAUAUGUGCGGAUCGGGUGGGACGCCGCCACGGGUAUGGUAUCUGGAUCGGGUGGCACGCCGCCACAGGUAUAUUAUCUGAACCAGGUUGCGCGCCGCAACAGUGUGAUGUGGAGAAUAGUUUUCUACAUGUUACCUUGUAUGCAUUACUUCCUAGUUUUUGGGGAAAAUCCGUAUUGGGUAUUGCUCGGCGAAUAGCGUAUCAGUUGUAUCCUUUCAGGAUUGAAUAGUGUAUAAUACUUGCUUCGCCGUGGGUGGGAUGGAUUGCUUGGGUUCAGACCUUAAUCUGUGUGUGGUUGUCUGUGUUGAUCAUGAUAACUUAAGGUGCUUCAUGGGUAAUAGUGUUAGGAUAGAAUCGCGCGAUGUGGCAUGGCCACGUGAUGUUAUGAUCCUUCGAGGAGGAUUCAGGUACUAUAUUUCUAUGAUGUGAGAUGGGAUCUCAGUUCUGUGUUGUGAUCUUACUGAGGAAUUUGAGUUGCAGCUCUUUCGCUUGAGUCUGUUGUCAUGGUUUGAGUGUGUUCAGAUCAUUUCGUAUUGGUGCCCGUGUUGAGUACGUUGUGGCUUAGGCCGGAGUUGAGGUGUCGUAUCACCAUAGUGGCGUGAUGUAGUUGAGAUAAUCGUCAGGGUCAUUAAUGAGAACAAGCAUGUUUGAUUUCAGCUUGUUAGAAAGGUAAUAUCGAGGUUUGGCUCCGAAAUCUGUUGUAGUAUCCGUCAGAAAGAGAAGGGACUCAUGAAUGGGUGAUCUGAGAGAUGGGUUCAGUUCAUUGCGUGUUUUAGUUAUCAUUUGCAGUAUACGAAAGUGUUGGAAUAAGACUUUAGCAAAAUAAGAGGGUUUCUAUUGGGAAGUGAGUAAUGUAGGCAACUGUUGUGAAUAGAGACUAUCGCUCCCAGUGAUAGAAUGUGUGGUAUAUUGGAUGAAUUCACCUGAGGUUGCGGGUGUGGGUUAUUACUGCUAGUUCGGGUUAAUCCUGAGUAUAGAUGUGGGGUUAUGAUCUUGUGUAUGAUUUCGGGAAACGCAGUGUGGUUCUACGAUUUAUGGGCCAGAUGGAAUGUGAAAUUUCAGCUGUGUUGUAUUUUCGGUACCUAUGUGAGUUAGGGUGACAUGGGAUCACCCCGGUCAUAUGCAUGGUAAUGUCAUUUAGUUAUUGGAUUGCUUCUGGUACAACUCUAGAUACGCUCGUGGACGAGCGUUUGUUUAAGUUGGGGAGGAUAUGACGACCCAACUCGUCGUCUCUUGUAUCCCUGUCCCGUUUUUCCCAUUUUAUGCUUCUUCAUGUGUUAUUAUAUAUGUUUGGUGAGUUUGAAGUGUUUCGGAUAGAAUUUGGAUAGAAAUGAGACAAAUAGUCUCUUUAAGGAAAGCUUGUGUAAUUGAAUUGGUUUUCGUUGGAAAUAAGGCACAUGGCCUUUUAGAAGGAAGCUUGUUUUGGAAAAUACAUCCGAGUGAUGACUAUGUGGUUAGAGGGCUGGAUGUGAAUUUAGGUGGUUCGGUUAGCUUCGGGAGAUGAUUAGUGACUUAGGAUAGCGAUCGAAAUUGAAUUUGGAGGUCCGGUGUAGAAUUAGGCUUGAAUUGGCAAAGUUUGAAUUUUAACGGAUUCCGAUUGAUAGGUAAGAUUUUGAUCCUAGGGUCAGAAUGGAAUUUCGAGAGUUGCAGUAGCUUCGUUAGGUGAUUUUGGAUAUGUCUGCAAAAUUUCAGGUCAUUCGGACUUUGUUUGGUUGGUUUCGGCAUCGAAUAUUAUUUUGGAAAACUUUAAGUUAUCUUAGGCUUUGAUUUAAGGACAACGAUGAUUUUUGGUGUUAAUGUUGGUGUUUUCAGCGCUCGAGCAAGUUUGAAUGAGGUAUUUGGUCAUAUUUGUGUUUUUGGUUUGGACCCUGUGGGCCUCGGGGUGAUUUCGGAUGGCUAACGGAAGGAUUUGUAGUUGGAAAAGUUGCAGAUUUUGAGGCUACAGUUGUUGUAGGCAUUUGCCUUAUGCGAUCGCAUGUAUGGCAUUGCGAUCGCGUAGAAGGCUUGGUCAGGGUCCUGGAAUUGUUCUAUGCGAUCGCGUAUUUGGUAAUGCGAUCUCGUAGUUUUAGGUUGUUGCUCUCUGCGAUCGCAGGGGAAUUUGCGAUUGCGUAAGUCUGGCCGGUGAAUCAAUGCGAUUGCAGGGUGUUGGUCGCAUUCACAUAGGCCAAUAUGGAGGCCUGGGAAUCUUGUACUAUGCAAUCGCAGGAGGAAGUUCGCGAUCACAUAGAGGAA